GACGAACGCUGGCGGCGUGCCUAAUACAUGCAAGUUGAGCGCUGAGGGGUGGUACUUGUACCUACUGCGUGAGCAGCGGACGGGUGAGUAACGCGUGGGGAAUCUGCCUUUGAGAGUGGGAUAACAUUUGGAAACGAAUGCUAAUACCGCAUAAAAUCUUUAAACACAAGUUUUAAGAUUGAAAGAUGCAAUUGCAUCACCCUAUGAUGAUCUCGCGUUGUAUUUGCUAGUUUGUUAGGUAAAGGCUCUACCAGGCGAAGAUACAUAGGCGACCUGAGAGGGUGGUCCGCCAACACGGGACCGGGACACGGCCCAAACCCCCACGGGGAGCAGGAAGAAGGAAACUUCGGGAAAGGACGAAAGGCUGACCGGGCAACGCCGCGGGAGGGAAUAAGGUUUUCCGGUCGUAAAACUCCGGUUAUAAGGAAGAACGAUAGUGGGAGUGGAAAGCGCACCAAGUGACGGUAACUACCCAGAAAGGCACGGCUAACUACGUG
rnacentral:rRNA from 1 species